GAGUUUGAUCCUGGCUCAGGACGAACGCUGGCGGCGUGCCUAAUACAUGCAAGUCGAGCGAAUCGAUGGGAGCUUGCUCCCUGAGAUUAGCGGCGGACGGGUGAGUAACACGUGGGCAACCUGCCUAUAAGACUGGGAUAACUUCGGGAAACCGGAGCUAAUACCGGAUACGUUCUUUUCUCGCAUGAGAGAAGAUGGAAAGACGGUUUACGCUGUCACUUAUAGAUGGGCCCGCGGCGCAUUAGCUAGUUGGUGAGGUAAUGGCUCACCAAGGCGACGAUGCGUAGCCGACCUGAGAGGGUGAUCGGCCACACUGGGACUGAGACACGGCCCAGACUCCUACGGGAGGCAGCAGUAGGGAAUCUUCCGCAAUGGACGAAAGUCUGACGGAGCAACGCCGCGUGAACGAAGAAGGCCUUCGGGUCGUAAAGUUCUGUUGUUAGGGAAGAACAAGUACCAGAGUAACUGCUGGUACCUUGACGGUACCUAACCAGAAAGCCACGGCUAACUACGUGCCAGCAGCCGCGGUAAUACGUAGGUGGCAAGCGUUGUCCGGAAUUAUUGGGCGUAAAGCGCGCGCAGGUGGUUCCUUAAGUCUGAUGUGAAAGCCCACGGCUCAACCGUGGAGGGUCAUUGGAAACUGGGGAACUUGAGUGCAGAAGAGGAAAGUGGAAUUCCAAGUGUAGCGGUGAAAUGCGUAGAGAUUUGGAGGAACACCAGUGGCGAAGGCGACUUUCUGGUCUGUAACUGACACUGAGC
rnacentral:rRNA from 1 species